rnacentral:rRNA from 1 species
UACGUAGGCAGCGAGCGUUGUUCGGAAUUACUGGGCGUAAAGAGUGUGUAGGCGGUGCUCUAAGUUCGGUGUGAAAUCUCCUGGCUCAACUGGGAGGGUGCGCCGGAAACUGGAGUGCUUGAGCGUGGGAGAGGAAAGCGGAAUUCCUGGUGUAGCGGCGAAAUGCGUAGAUAUCAGGAGGAACACCUGUGGUGUAGACGGCUUUCUGGACCAUGGCUGACGCUGAGACACGAAAGCGUGGGUAGCAAACAGG